CUCCUGGAUUCUGGGAAUUAAGCUUUCCCCAGCAGCUACACUAAAGACAAUGUAGUCCCAUUGGCUGACCAACUCCCAGAUUCAUGCACCAAAGACACCUGCAACCUGCCUGGUCCAACCUGCGAAUUUUACAGAUGGGAAAACUCAGUCCUGGAGGCCUUUCCUGGUGAGAGACAAAGGUAGGGUCAGAAUUCAAGUCUCCUGAUCCCAUUCAGAGCUCUUUCUGCUGAUGGUACCCUCUCUCUUGGCUGGGAGGGCCUCAGCUAGUAUUUUUUUCAAAAUGUGCAAUUAUUUCCUUUACUUUUAGAUUUUAACUCUUGCACAGGAUGUUUUAAAUGAACUUAGGGUAAUUUCUGCCAGCAUUACCACCUCUUUUUCUUUCUACGCACUUACAAUAACAUCAACAUUUUACUCUGGUAUCUUAAACCCAGAGGCUGGGCCUGAGCGGAGACACCGCCCAGUAGACACCAAGGUCGAGGCUGGGGUGAAAUCACUUCCACUGCCAACUGAACUCCAUGUUUCUGUUCUGGAAGAUCUAAUGGAGAACCCAGGAGAGAGGACAGCAGGGAGGAGAAGGCAGCCCUAAUUCAGAUGCAGAUGUCACUUAGAACUUUUUACUUACACCUAUAAGAGGAGUCUGUCAAUAUCAGAGACAUGCUGGCUGUCAUCUGGAUAUGAUCCCCCAGAUCGUCUCCAAUCAAGAACUCUCAGAAAGGGCAGGUCACUGUCUGGGUGGUCAGGAUGGUGGCUCAUGGGGGCAGCACCCACAUGGGGAUGACACGUGGAGUGAAGUGUCCACCUGCCUGUGUCCACCCAGUGAGGCUGGGAUGAGACCCUGUGGAUGGAUGGCUGGUGACACUUGGGAGCAGCCGCAGACAAGCCGAUCACUCAGAGACUUAGGGCUCACUGGGGAGGCGUGAGAUUUCCUUUAGUCCUUGGACACCAAGUGAACACCACUCUACACCCGUAUCCAGCAUUGAUGACAAAGAAGACAGAUCCCAAGAAAGGGCUGGUGGGGGUUACACCAUGGCAGGAAAGUUCCUGGGAUUGGGAAUGAGCUAGACUCCACCUAUUGGUUGUGUGACUUGAGAAAGCAACUUAAUCUCUCCAACCUCAUUCAUUCGAUAACUACUCAUCAGGUACUCGCUGCAUGCCAAGCAUUGUUAGAGACUUUCGAUGCAGCCUUUUCUACAAAAUAGGGAUUUUUACCACCUACCUAAUAGGACUGAUGUUAAGUCCAUAAGACAUAAAGCAAUGACUAUAGUACCUGGCCCUCAAUUAAGGUGAGUUAUAAUCUCCUACUAACAUACCUCUCCUUUUGGAAAUUGGGGGUCGGGGUGUGAUGGACAAGAAGCAAGUCAAUUCAAAGCCUGGCAUUCAAGAGAAAAAUACCUAAUGGGUGACAAUAGCAAAUUCCCAGCCAUUUUGCUCUCUUAUUUGAAAAGAACAGACCAGGCAGGGUUUGGAAUGACCAAAAGUUAAGGCAACAAGUGCAGUGGCAAGGACACCAGGCCUAGUCUGCCCCGCUGUCUUGCUGUGUGACUUAAGUUAAAAGCUUUGCCCUCUCUGUUCCUGGCUUUCCUCAUCUGUCAGAGGAAAAUAAUAAUAUCUGCCCUGCUUAGUCCUCAUCGUAGUAACAUAAAACAUAAGAAUGUAUCUUAAUAUGAUAAUGUAAAACUUAAGUUAUCUGUGAUGCUUAAGUUAAUGUAUCUGAAAGUGCUUUGAAAAAUACAAAAUGUCUUAGUCCAUUUGGGCUGCUAUAACAAAAUACCUUAGACUGGGUAAUUUAUAAACAAAGUUGUUGCCCAUAGUUCUGGAUGCUGGGAAGUUGGAAGAUGAAGGUCCCAGCAGACUCGGUGUCAGUCGAGGGCCUGUUCCUCAUAGAUGGAAGUUGGAAGAUGAAGGUCCCAGCAGACUUGUUGUCGGUCGAGGGCCUGUUCCUCAUAGAUGGAACCUUCUACCUGUCUUCACAUGGUGCAAGGGAUGGACAAG
rnacentral:lncRNA from 10 species